CUCUCUCUCUCUCUCUCUCUCUCUCUUCUCUCUUCUCUCUCUCUAACAGCAUUCAUUCACAUUGAAUCCUCGAAAAAUCUGCGACCAAAAUUCGAGAAUUUAAUUCUCCAAGGCAUUUUGUUUUUUUACAGAGAAAUAUAUAUAUAUAAAUAUGGUGAUGAUGGGGUUGGAGAAAUUGAUGACGAGCUUGAAAUCGAAAAUAAAGGGAAUAAAAAAAAGGAAGCAAGAACCAGAUUAUUACAACAAGAUAGAUAAGAGUGAAAGCAUGAGGGUCGAAAUAAGGAGCAGAAAAGCCAGAAAACUCAUUCAAGAUACCCUCAAAAUCGCCGAUUCUCCUAAAACCAGAAGCUACGUAUAAUUCCUUGUCAUUUUUUAUUAUAUACAUAGUAAAUAAAUUAAUAAUUGAGCUUGUUAUAUACGGUCAGUUUGAUGCUACACCCGGUAAACUACAUAUAAUAAGUAGUUUUUUUCGCGUUUGAAUUUAUAUAUAAUUAGUCGCAUAUAUAUGAAGUUUAAUAGGUGUAGCCUACAAUAAACUAUGUAAUAUGCGCUCUUAUUUAUACAUUUAUGCUUAAUUGAUAUUUGCUUCUCU